rnacentral:rRNA from 1 species
UCGAACGAUACCAAUGGGCUUGCUCAUUGGGAAAGUGGCGCACGGGUGCGUAACGCGUAUGCAACCUACCUCAAUCAGGGGGAUAGCCCGAAGAAAUUCGGAUUAACACCGCAUAAAAACACAGUACAGCAUUGUACAAUGUUCAAAUAUUUAUAGGAUUGAGAUGGGCAUGCGUGUCAUUAGCUAGUUGGCGGGGUAACGGCCCACCAAGGCGACGAUGACUAGGGGAUCUGAGAGGAUGACCCCCCACACUGGUACUGAGACACGGACCAGACUCCUACGGGAGGCAGCAGUAAGGAAUAUUGGUCAAUGGAGGCAACUCUGAACCAGCCAUGCCGCGUGCAGGAAGACAGCCCUCUGGGUCGUAAACUGCUUUUAUUCGGGAAUAAACCUACUUACGUGUAAGUAGCUGAAUGUACCGAAGGAAUAAGGAUCGGCUAACUCCGUGCCAGCAGCCGCGGUAAUACGGAGGAUCCAAGCGUUAUCCGGAUUUAUUGGGUUUAAAGGGUGCGUAGGCGGCUUAUUAAGUCAGGGGUGAAAGACGGUGGCUCAACCAUCGCAGUGCCCUUGAUACUGAUGAGCUUGAAUGAACUAGAGGUAGGCGGAAUGUGACAAGUAGCGGUGAAAUGCAUAGAUAUGUCACAGAACACCGAUUGCGAAGGCAGCUUACUAUGGUUUUAUUGACGCUGAGGCACGAAAGCGUGGGGAUCAAACAGGAUUAGAUACCCUGGUAGUCCACGCCCUAAACGAUGAAUACUCGCUGUUAGCGAUAUACAGUUAGCGGCUAAGCGAAAGCGUUAAGUAUUCCACCUGGGGAGUACGCCCGCAAG